CCUACGGGUGGCAGCAGUGAGGAAUAUUGGUCAAUGGGUGCGAGCCUGAACCAGCCAAGUAGCGUGAAGGAUGAAGGCCCUAUGGGUCGUAAACUUCUUUUAUAAGGGAAUAAAGUGUGGCACGUGUGCCAUUUUGUAUGUACUUUAUGAAUAAGGAUCGGCUAACUCCGUGCCAGCAGCCGCGGUAAUACGGAGGAUCCGAGCGUUAUCCGGAUUUAUUGGGUGUAAAGGGUGCGUAGGCGGGUUUUUAAGUCAGUGGUGAAAGUUUGGGGCUCAACCAUAAAAUUGCAAUUGAAACUGGGGGUCUUGAGUAGGUUUGAGGUAGGCGGAAUGCGUGGUGUAGCGGUGAAAUGCUUAGAUAUCACGAAGAACCCCGAUUGCGAAGGCAGCUUACCAAACCAUCACUGACGCUGAUGCACGAAAGCGUGGGGAUCAAACAGGAUUAGAUACCCUAGUAGUC
rnacentral:rRNA from 1 species